rnacentral:lncRNA from 1 species
GGAAGAAUAGAGUAAGAUCCACUUAAUGUUGUGGAGAGCAAGGCAAUAGUACCUACCUCCAAAACACAGACAGCUCCAGACCCAAAGAGAAGACCAGUGUGAACUCAGCCCGGGAGAGUGUGAGGUCAGCUGACAAAAAAAAUGGAGAAGUCACCAGAUGAGAAAUAAGGUAAUUUAAAAAGGUCCGUAUAUCUGGGGUUAACCCUAUCAGGUUCUUUUAAUAACCCUGCAUAUCU